AUACUCUGGUUUCUCCUUCAGGAUCGCUAUAAAUCUUUCGCCUUUUACUAAAGAUUUCCGUGGAGAGGAACUUUAGAUGUUUCUACUUUCAUUUUUUGAGGCUUACUUCGGUGAAGCUA
ensembl:snRNA U5 U5 spliceosomal RNA